rnacentral:tRNA from 1 species
GUCCGGGUGGCGGAAUUGGCAGACGCGCUAGCUUGAGGUGCUAGUCCCCGUAUUAGGGGGUGGGGGUUCAAGUCCCCCCUCGGACACCA